GUGAGGUGAUGACAAAGUUUAUCCAUUCUCUGAGCGCAGUGGUGCUGCCCUCCUGCAGCACCCCGAUUCCUGUUCUAGGGUCUGGGUGCUGUGCAGCUUCCAGAGACCCUCUGCUCUCCCAGUGUCCUACUGGGGGCUGUUAUGGUGUGUGGCUGGCUGCCUGCAGGAGUGAAGUGGUGCUGGCAUGGUUGGAGCCCCUCUCUGGGGGGCUCUGACCUCACUGAGAUGAGGGAUGAUGUCUGAUCAC
ensembl:snoRNA small nucleolar RNA SNORD17